rnacentral:rRNA from 1 species
UACGUAGGGGACGAGCGUUGUCCGGAUUUAUUGGGCGUAAAGGGCGCGUAGGCGGCCUUGUAAGUCAGCUGUGAAAGCCCGGGGCUCAACCCCGGAGGGUCGGCUGAUACUGCAGGGCUAGAGUACGGAAGAGGUAGCUGGAAUUCCCGGUGUAGCGGUGAAAUUCGUAGAUAUCGAGAGGAACACCUGCGGCGAAGGCGGGUUGCUGGGCUGAUACUGACGCUGAGGCGCGAAAGCCAGGGGAGCGAACGGG